rnacentral:lncRNA from 1 species
AUUAUAAUAAUAGCUGUUGGAUAGUUGUAUUUAGCGGCAUUUACUUAGAUUUUUACCAAAACAAAUUCCACAAUACAUUUUACCUAUCCUACCAAUAGUAGCAAUUAUUAUAAUUUUCACGAAACUAUUUAGCAGUAAUUAUAAUUAUCGAAAAUUUAAAAAAUAAUCGCCAUUCAAAUUCAAUUUUAUUAUAGUGAUAUAUAAAUAAAUAUGC